GUAGGGKGCAAGCGUUAAUCGGAAUUACUGGGCGUAAAGCGUGCGCAGGCGGUUUUAUAAGUCUGAUGUGAAAUCCCCGGGCUCAACCUGGGAACUGCAUUGGAGACUGUAAGGCUAGAGUGUGUCAGAGGGGGGUAGAAUUCCACGUGUAGCAGUGAAAUGCGUAGAUAUGUGGAGGAAYACCGAUGGCGAAGGCAGCCCCCUGGGAUAACACUGACGCUCAUGCACGAAAGCGUGGGGAGCAAACAGGAUUAGAUACCCUGGUAGUCCACGCCCUAAACGAUGUCUACUAGUUGUCGGGUCUUAAUUGACUUGGUAACGCAGCUAACGCGUGAAGUANACCGCCUGGGGAGUACGGUCGCAAGAUUAAA
rnacentral:rRNA from 1 species